AGUGAACGCUGGCGGCAUGCCUUACACAUGCAAGUCGAACGGCAGCGGGGACUUCGGUCCGCCGGCGAGUGGCGAACGGGUGAGUAAAGCAUCGGAACGUACCCGGAAGUGGGGGAUAACGUAGCGAAAGUUACGCUAAUACCGCAUAUUCUGUGAGCAGGAAAGAGGGGGAUCUUCGGACCUCUUGCUUUCGGAGCGGCCGAUGUCAGAUUAGCUAGUUGGUGAGGUAAGGGCUCACCAAGGCGACGAUCUGUAGCGGGUCUGAGCGGAUGAUCCGCCACACUGGAACUGAGACACGGUCCAGACUCCUACGGGAGGCAGCAGUGGGGAAUUUUGGACAAUGGGCGCAAGCCUGAUCCAGCCAUGCCGCGUGAGUGAAGAAGGCCUUCGGGUUGUAAAGCUCUUUCGGCCGGGAAGAAAUCGCAUGGGUUAAUACCCUGUGCGGAUGACGGUACCGGCAUAAGAAGCACCGGCUAACUACGUGCCAGCAGCCGCGGUAA
rnacentral:rRNA from 1 species